AUGAAAAUCCCUGUAUGACAUAUCAAAGCACAAAUGUGACUGACAGCUUUCAUUACAGUUUAGUUACAUUCAUAAAUUCAGCACUGAGCUGUGAGCCUGAUUGUCCAGAAACAAGAUUUUCUUCAACAGCCGUAAUUAACUUGAUUAAAUACAGCUGUGCUGGUCAAGGAGGGAAAGAGUGGUAGCAGUUUUAUCUCUGACGGGUAAAUGUUUCAGUGUUCACAUAUGUUGCGUGUGUGCGCCUAUAACUUCCUGGAGUAUUUAUCUUUUUUUUCCCUAUAAUAAAAAGCUGUCUGCUCGUUCAGAUUUUGAAAUAUGCGUAGCUGAAAUUGAAAUGCUUACAUUUUGACUACGGACAUCAAAGAUGCACAUAAAUCUCGUGUAAAGUACUAGAAACCCUAUGGCGCGCUUAAUUGCAUCGUGCGUCGCCGCCAUAUUGGAUGGGCCUCUUCUAACUCCAGGCAGUACCAGAGCGAGAGACGAUGCUCAUAUUUGGUGCACUGAAAGCAGACUCCAUGGGAUCACCAUUUUAUAAGUUGUUUACCGGCCGUGUCACAGUGAGAGCUCGUGCAGCAGAGGCGAGGCAGAGCUGGACCUGGUAGACUGACAAUAACCUAAAAAAACAACAACUCAGAGCAAAGGAACUGAGUUUGAAGAGGGUUUUUUUUUUGUGUGUGUGUGUGCCUCCAUCUUCUAGACAUCUGAGGAUCAAAGCUGCCUUGGUGGCGUGAGGGACUGACAAGAAGCAGACGUGUUGAAAAUGGUGGCUGCAGGAGCCUCCGUGGUGGAUGGAGAGCACCAGCCGAGUCCCACCGGUUUUUAAAAAAUUUUCGCUGAAGCACCGGCCCGCAGUUCUCCUCCUAAACCUGAUUUCGUCUGAUUUUAGAGGACAUUUGACCCAUCAGGUCCAGCCUGUGCCUCUUGUCUGAACAGGUCCGGUGGGUAGGAGGAGGUUCUGGAUGCAGUCCUGUUACAGAGAGAUGGUUUCCUAGCAGUGUGGUAUGCUGCUGUGCGCAGAUGUGUAGCGCAAAGAGUGUCAUGGUGAUGAGAGACUGUUUCCACUUAAACUCUUUGCUCUCUGUCUCAAGGCCACCGGGUUCGACAGCGGUGGGGUAAGGAGCUCUUUGAGCCCGAGUGAAGAAGGGGGCCCCUUGGUACGGGGCAGCUUUCUAAGAGCCUUCAGUUACAGUAGACACAACAUUAAUCUACGGACUGUGCUUUGUCACUGCAUAAUUACUCUACAUUGUGUAUUUUUGUCUUUAUGGAAGCAGUUUUUCUCUUUUUUUUUGCAUCUCUUUUUGGGUGAGGUGCUUCGUUGUGUGCAGUGUGCAGUGUGUGUUACAGUGUACAGCAGGAGGCACAGUGGAGCUCAACAUCCCAGGGUUUUUGUGCUUAAAAAGCAUAUUUUUUAUAGAACUUGAUCUGUCUAUCAGGUUUGGUUUUAGAGAUUGAAAAGAAAUUUUAAAAAAAAAUUGGAGAAGGUUUUAAAAUAAAUUCAAUUUGGAAAUAAAAUACGUGAAAGCUGAAAAACUUUGAGUUUAAAAUGAUAAAGUGGAGGGAGAGUGUGUAACAGUA